rnacentral:lncRNA from 1 species
UUUUAAAUACUGAAUUUGCGUUUUUUAAUGUUCUGUAAUAUGUACUUAUAAAUUAAUCUUGGCGCCAUCUACAUGAUAAUUGUGAAAGUAUCCGAAGUAAGAAAUUAAUGGUCGCGUUCACCAGAAUAAUCCGAGUGCAAUCCGAUUAAUUUGCGCUGAAACGCUGACAGUUUUUUUACUAGUGAACGACUGACGUUUGACAUUCGAUUGAGAGUGUUCUGUGUUCCAUUUGUUUAUUUUUUUAUUCUUUGUUUAUAUAAUUUAUAACCUAGACAGUUUUGUUUUUAAAUAAAACUGAAACUGUGUCUAAGCUAAAAUGGAUAAUAUUCUUGAAGAAUUUUUGUUUGGGGACGAAAUUAGCAAAUGCCGUUAUACAUUUAGCAGAUGUACCUGCCUCACAAUUAUUCCAGAAGGAUGAGAUGAAAUUAAAUAUAUAUAAACCAUAAUUCAAUAUCCAAUUUAGAGAACAUUUUCGUAUGUCCAGAACUACUUUCCAGGAACUAUUUAAUUGUAUUGGUCAUAUCCACCAAUUUGAAAACAGAAUAAUUCUAUUGGAAAAAAUUAAUGUUUGUGAUGUGGAUGCUAAGUAAACCAGAGAAUUUGUUGCUGGGGAUACGUUUGGUUUGCCAAAGAGCUCUGGACAUAAGAUUUUCACCCAAAUAAUAUAGAAUUACAAAAAAUUGGAAAUAACUAAUCUUGAAUAUCAAUGUGUAUAUUGAGUUUAAUUUUAUUGUAAAUAUUCUAUAAUAUAAUUUUAUUGUAAAUAUUGUAUUAACACAUUUGUGGACACAUCUUCAUAUGCAGACAGUAAUUUCCCUUUGUAAGUACAUGCAUAUUAGUCGUAUCUGCGAAUGGGUUAAUUGUAAAUCGUAAUCAAUAAAAAUUUUUUGUGAAUCAAUAAAAAACUGGUUUGUUUGAAAAUAAAUGUAGUACAAAUGUG